CACAGAGUCCUGCUCACAGUUACUGGGGCUGGGCAGCCCCAUCCCUGGGGGCCAACUGGGACUGGCUGCAGAGAGUUUUAGCCAUUCAAUGGGACCAGGUUGAUAUUGCUGGGCCAGACCUCCCCCGACCCAAGGGCACUCCUGUUCAACUCUGGACCCCUGAUUUAUUGACCAACCUGAAGGCCUCAGUCUCCAUUUUCCCCAAUCCAGCUCCACCAAGCAGAAAAAGCCCUGCCCAGGGUCCUCUUGGCGGGAGGACCUGAUCCAGCUUUGAGCCGGCCUCUUGGAUACUCGGAGGCCCAGGGGACCAGCCUGGCACAUCCACAAUCCCUGGUGAGCCCCACAGAACCCUCAAAUCUCACCAGAUCACCCUGGCCUAAAACCCUCCCUUAUCCCUUCUGGACUCUGAAAGAAACCCAAACUCCCUUCCACAGCCUGCCAGGGACACCAGCGGGAGCCUGAAGGAUAGGGAGUGGGGAGGGCAGGGGUCAGGGCCACUCAUGGACCCAUGGCUCAGGGACACCAGAGGAGCUCCCUUUAGGAAGGACUCAAACCCCUACCGCUCUCAGCAGCCCAAGUGGUGCCUGUACUCUCUAGCACGGGGGCUUCUGCCCACCCUCUACCGACUGCCCACAUUCACCAAGAGCCCUCACCCCUUCCUGAUACCCCAGUGACUCAGGGUCCUGCCAGCAUGUGCUGAGCUGC
rnacentral:lncRNA from 1 species